rnacentral:lncRNA from 1 species
GUGACCACCGAGCAGUAUGGAUCUAUUACAGGCCAAAAGAGUUCAUCGCUGCACAGGGAUGCACUGAUGCAAGUUCACACCAGCGAGACAUGUAGUGCGCUCAGUCAACUUCCUGAUUGCCUGGAUCCAGCAAACACAUCCGGCAGCAAUGUCAAGACAAUGCACGGUGAUCCCAGGUACUCUCAGCAUAGCUGCGAGAGCCACUCAUGCAGCUGGAUGCAUUGUUGCCGCGAAUGUGAAGUAAAUUGCGCCGACUCACCUGGCAAACUGGGCAAUUGUAAAUGGGAGGCGACAGUGCUACAGUAUGUGGCUCUGUGCCACAGAUGCAAGGUAAAAAAAGGCAAUCCAUGUGCUGCGCUCCUUUCCCCCAAGCGGCUGUCAGAUGUCCAGGAGCUUCCAGUAGUUUCCUCUCCAAAGGUUGGGUAAAUGCUGUCAACCUGAUAGGACGUGUAAUAACACAUAUAUGGUAUUGUUUCGUUAUACGACAGUUCGUUCACCGGAUCAUGUCAGCAAAAGAACCGUUGCCAUCAGCAAGGACUGUCGUUCCGUGAUUGGCAUUUGCGGUCAGUACCCAGUCCAUGAUCCUGCAAGUAUUAAUAGCACAUCGCAAGCAAAUGACGGGCUCAUCGAAGCAAAAAAAGCCAGUAAUUACCUUCCAAGGUUAAGACUGGGUCACAGACUGCUAUUCUAGAUAUGUCCUUCCACCGACCAAGUGCAGCUCCGACAGAGGUAUUGACCAGAUACAGGACUGAUCCACAUAGUUCUGUUAAUUUACUUGAGACUUGAUCAAACCAAGGUGA